CUCUCCCAGAUGUGUAGCCCUGCUCCUUCCCCAGGCAGCUCCCUUUGCAGCUCUUGCCCACUUGUGGUGUGUGAUAGUGGGAUCUGAAGCCAUCAGGAAGGCUCUUGCCUUGUUCUUCCUCAAAACAAACAAACAAGAAGUCAAGAUGAAGCAUGACUAACUUGGAAAAAAUUAAUAAAAACAGAAACCGGAUUUUUGCAGUGGGGCAGGAGAGGAUGGGCACACCUGCUGCUCUGUUGCAGUGCCACCCAGCUUGCCCAGGGGGCUGCUGCUAAUUCUGUCUUUUUGGGCCUUUGCACGAGCAUUUCUGCCUUGGCUUGUGUUAGGGACAAGGGCUCAGAGUUGUCUGGCAGGCCAAGGAAAGAACCUAAGGUGUAACCUCUGAUUUCUGGCCCCUCUGAUGAUCACAGCAUUUAAGUAGGUUGUUAAUUGGGUUGUUUUUUUUUCUGUUUGUUUGUUUUGUCUAAUGGCAGGUGCUCAUAUAUGAAAAUUUUGGCCAAACAUCUGUUGGGAUGUAAAUACAGAAGGAGUAUUUGCCUGCUGGCUGCAUUACCUGUGUAGGAACAAGAAGGCAGAUGGGAGUGUUCUGUUACGCAUAACAGGACUCAGGCUUCCCUUAAUGACCUCAUCCUGCUAACCCUGAAAAGGAAAUCCAAAGACCAUCUGCCAGAAGGAAACCCAGGUCAAAAUGAAGUGGUGGCAUGCGACAGCAGGUCCCAUGCACAGCAGGAGGAGCAGAACGGAGACAAGUGUUAUGCAGGGUCCUACGCCAAAUUUGGACAGGGGGAAUGUAAGGUCUCAUUAUGGACUUUCCAAGAAGUGGAGAAAUACAAACUAUAUACUGAAACCAUCAUUCCUCUCCAAGUGACCUGCAGAGUGGGAAGUACAGCAGGCAGCCCAGAGGCACUGCAGCCAGAAGAGAAAUGGGAGGAGGAUGUGGAAAUAAUUGGAAAUCUCUGGGUUCCAGAAAGUCAGCAGAGAGCAUGCCAGCACCCUUAAGCUAAGGAGGGCCCUGGGAGAGGGUGCAGUUUGCAUAUUUGGAAGGAGAGCGGGAAGCAUGUGUUGAUGAGACAGUCUGAAGGCCUGUGAACUGCAGGAGAGGCAUUCUAGGUGGGAACCACACCCUGUCUCUAAUUCCCUCCUCUCAUCUGGCUGAAGCAAAAGCCCACACAGAAGCUUCUUCAGUCCCUUGUGCUGCCAGUCGGCUCCACACCACUUUGGGGCUCCACAAAUGGCCAGAAUGCGGAGGACCAUGGGUGGUUUGUGAAUGCUGUGUUUCAAGUGUCAGAUAAUAAAGCUUUGAAGUUGGAAACCUGUUUUUAAAGU
rnacentral:lncRNA from 1 species